AGUCGACGGCAGCGCGGACUUCGGUCUGGCGGCGAGUGGCGAACGGGUGAGUAAUAUAUCGGAACGUACCCAAGAGUGGGGGAUAACGUAGCGAAAGUUACGCUAAUACCGCAUACGAUCUAAGGAUGAAAGUGGGGGAUCGCAAGACCUCAUGCUCCUGGAGCGGCCGAUAUCUGAUUAGCUAGUUGGUGAGGUAAAGGCUCACCAAGGCCACGAUCAGUAGCUGGUCUGAGAGGACGACCAGCCACACUGGAACUGAGACACGGUCCAGACUCCUACGGGAGGCAGCAGUGGGGAAUUUUGGACAAUGGGCGCAAGCCUGAUCCAGCAAUGCCGCGUGAGUGAAGAAGGCCUUCGGGUUGUAAAGCUCUUUUGUCAGGGAAGAAACGGUAGGAGCUAAUAUCUCUUGCUAAUGACGGUACCUGAAGAAUAAGCACCGGCUAACUACGUGCCAGCAGCCGCGGUAAUACGUAGGGUGCAAGCGUUAAUCGGAAUUACUGGGCGUAAAGCGUGCGCAGGCGGUUUUGUAAGUCUGUCGUGAAAGCCCCGGGCUCAACCUGGGAAUUGCGAUGGAGACUGCAAGGCUUGAAUCUGGC
rnacentral:rRNA from 1 species